UGUAGGCUGCAACUCGCCUACAUGAAGUCGGAAUUGCUAGUAAUCGCGGAUCAGCAUGCCGCGGUGAAUACGUUCCCGGGCCUUGUACACACCGCCCGUCACACCAUGGGAGUCGGUAACACCCGAAGCCUGUAGUCUAACCGCAAGGAGGACGCAGUCGAAGGUGGGAUUGAUGACUGGGGUGAAGUCGUAACAAGGUAUC
rnacentral:rRNA from 1 species